GGACCCGUGGCGCAAUGGUAGCGCGGUAUGUUAUUUCUGUCCUAAGUGGAGUGUCGUGUAAUAUACUCAUUCCUGGUAUUUAGUCUGAUUCCAGCUACGCUGGCGUGGAGAUUCCAGAAGGUCAUCCGUUCAAAUCGGGUCGGGUUCA